AUACGUAGGGUGCGAGCGUUGUCCGGAAUUACUGGGCGUAAAGAGCUCGUAGGUGGUUUGUCGCGUCGUCUGUGAAAUUCCGGGGCUUAACUCCGGGCGUGCAGGCGAUACGGGCAUAACUUGAGUACUGUAGGGGAGACUGGAAUUCCUGGUGUAGCGGUGAAAUGCGCAGAUAUCAGGAGGAACACCGGUGGCGAAGGCGGGUCUCUGGGCAGUAACUGACGCUGAGGAGCGAAAGCAUGGGUAGCGAACAGGAUUAGAUACCCUGGUAGUCCAUGCCGUAAACGGUGGGCGCUAGGUGUAGGGGUCUUCCACGACUUCUGUGCCGUAGCUAACGCAUUAAGCGCCCCGGCUGGGGAGUACGGCCGCAAGGCUAAAACUCAAAGGAAUUGACGGGG
rnacentral:rRNA from 1 species